rnacentral:tRNA from 1 species
GGCUCCGUAGAUUAACGGCUAGAUCGCAGGACUUUCAAUCCUGUCAUAGGGUUUCGACUACCCUCGGAGCUACCA